AGCUAGGUCUUGAAUUUUUUCGGACAUCAAACCCAUCUCAGCCAUCUCCCCAUGUUUGACCAUUUUAGAAAAUGGUUUACCGAUGCCGACUAAAACUCUUUCAUAGAAAGGAGCUUCUUGUAUGUCUAUGAAAGUAAUGACCAUCUCUGAUUCUGUCAUGGAAGGACUAACUUGGGCAGCCAGGCGUCUCCACCUUUGAGCAUACUCUCUGGAAGACUCGUUAGACUGUUUCUUGAUCUUGGUAAUUUGAUACCGAUCAGGAGCCAUCUGAGAUUGAAAGUUGUAUUGAGUGAGGAAAGCAUGUGCUAGCUCUUCCCAGCUAUG
rnacentral:lncRNA from 1 species